rnacentral:tRNA from 1 species
GAAAAGGUAGGCUCAGUGGUAGAGUGCUUGCCUAGCAUGUGUGAGGCCCUGGGUUCAAUCCCCAGUUUCUCA